GAGUUUGAUCGUGGCUCAGAGUGAACGCUGGCGGCAGGCCUAACACAUGCAAGUCGAACGGCAGCACAGAGGAGCUUGCUCCUUGGGUGGCGAGUGGCGGACGGGUGAGGAAUGCAUCGGAAUCUGCCUAUUUGUGGGGGAUAACGUAGGGAAACUUACGCUAAUACCGCAUACGUCCUACGGGAGAAAGUGGGGGACCUUCGGGCCUCACGCAGAUAGAUGAGCCGAUGCCGGAUUAGCUAGUUGGCGGGGUAAAGGCCCACCAAGGCGACGAUCCGUAGCUGGUCUGAGAGGAUGAUCAGCCACACUGGAACUGAGACACGGUCCAGACUCCUACGGGAGGCAGCAGUGGGGAAUAUUGGACAAUGGGCGUAAGCCUGAUCCAGCCAUGCCGCGUGUGUGAAGAAGGCCUUCGGUUGUAAG
rnacentral:rRNA from 1 species